rnacentral:rRNA from 1 species
AUUGAACGCUGGCGGCAUGCCUUACACAUGCAAGUCGAACGGCAGCACGGGAGCAAUCCUGGUGGCGAGUGGCGAACGGGUGAGUGAAGUAUCGGAACGUGCCCAGUCGUGGGGGAUAACGUAGCGAAAGUUACGCUAAUACCGCAUACGAUCUAUGGAUGAAAGCGGGGGAUCGCAAGACCCCGCGCGAUUUGAGCGGCCGAUAUCCGAUUAGGUAGUUGGUGGGGUAAAGGCUCACCAAGCCGACGAUCUGUAGCUGGUCUGAGAGGACGACCAGCCACACUGGGACUGAGACACGGCCCAGACUCCUACGGGAGGCAGCAGUGGGGAAUUUUGGACAAUGGGCGAAAGCCAGAUCCAGCCAUGCCGCGUGCAGGGUGAAGGCCUUCGGGUUGUAAACUGCUUUUGUACGGAACGAAAAGGUUUGGCCUAAUAAGCUGAGCUCAUGACGGUACCGUAAGAAUAAGCACCGGCUAACUACGUGCCAGCAGCCGCCGUACAC